CCGGUCCGUAGGUGAACCUGCGGAAGGAUCAUUA
rnacentral:rRNA from 1 species